UACGUAGGGUGCAAGCGUUAAUCGGAAUUACUGGGCGUAAAGCGUGCGCAGGCGGUUUUGUAAGUCUGUCGUGAAAGCCCCGGGCUCAACCUGGGAAUGGCGAUGGAGACUGCAAGGCUAGAGUGUGUCAGAGGGGGGUAGAAUUCCGACGUGUGAGCAGUGAAAUGCGUAGAUAUGCGGAGGAACACCGAUGGCGAAGGCAAUCCCUGGGCCUGCACUGACGCUCAGGCGCGAUAGCGUGGGGAGCGAACAGG
rnacentral:rRNA from 1 species